UUGACGGGGAGCACCACAACAGGUGGAGCCUGCGGUUUAAUCGGACUCAACGCCGGGAAACUCACCAGAUAAGACAGCUGAAUGAUAGUCGGGCUGAAGACUCUACUUGACUAGCUGAGAGGAGGUGCAUGGCCGUCGUCAGUUCGUACUGUGAAGCAUCCUGUUAAGUCAGGCAACGAGCGAGACCCACGCCAACAGUUGCCAGCUCGUCCUCCGGGAUGGAGGGGACACUGUUGGGACCGCCUCUGCUAAAGAGGAGGAAGGAAUGGGCAACGGUAGGUCAGCAUGCCCCGAAUUAUCUGGGCUACACGCGGGCUACAAUGGGUGGGACAAUGGGUAUCGACACCGAAAGGUGAAGGCAAUCUCCUAAACCCAAUCUUAGUUCGGAUUGAGGGCUGCAACUCGCCCUCAUGAAGCUGGAAUCCGUAGUAAUCGCGUUUCAACAGAACGCGGUGAAUACGUCCCUGCUCCUU
rnacentral:rRNA from 1 species